GACGAACGCUGGCGGCGUGCCUAAUACAUGCAAGUUGAGCGCUGAAGGUUGGUACUUGUACCAACUGGAUGAGCAGCGAACGGGUGAGUAACGCGUGGGGAAUCUGCCUUUGAGCGGGGGACAACAUUUGGAGACGAAUGCUAAUACCGCAUAAAAACUUUAAACACAAGUUUUAAGUUUGAAAGAUGCAAUUGCAUCACUCAAAGAUGAUCCCGCGUUGUAUUAGCUAGUUGGUGAGGUAAAGGCUCACCAAGGCGAUGAUACAUAGCCGACCUGAGAGGGUGAUCGGCCACAUUGGGACUGAGACACGGCCCAAACUCCUACGGGAGGCAGCAGUAGGGAAUCUUCGGCAAUGGACGAAAGUCUGACCGAGCAACGCCGCGUGAGUGAAGAAGGGUUUCGGAUCGUAAAACUCUGUUGGUAGAGAAGAACGUUGGUGAGAGUGGAAAGCUCAUCAAGUGACGGUAACUACCCAGAAAGGGACGGCUAACUACGUG
rnacentral:rRNA from 1 species